GUGCCUGCUUCAGCAGCACGUAUGCUAAAAUUGGAACAAUACAGAGAAAUUAGCAUGGCCACUGCGCAAGGACGACAUGCAAAUUUGUGAAGCAUUCUAUAUAAAA